UUGAGCCGCCUGCGGUGAAAGUCGCACGGGCGAUUCUUAGAGGGCUGGGGAUCGGCAACGGUCCUUGGCUACUCGAC
rnacentral:ncRNA from 1 species